rnacentral:rRNA from 1 species
ACGGGUGAGUAAUGCCUAGGAAUCUGCCUGGUAGUGGGGGAUAACGUUCGGAAACGAACGCUAAUACCGCAUACGUCCUACGGGAGAAAGCAGGGGACCUUCGGGCCUUGCGCUAUCAGAUGAGCCUAGGUCGGAUUAGCUAGUUGGUGAGGUAAUGGCUCACCAAGGCGACGAUCCGUAACUGGUCUGAGAGGAUGAUCAGUCACACUGGAACUGAGACACGGUCCAGACUCCUACGGGAGGCAGCAGUGGGGAAUAUUGGACAAUGGGCGAAAGCCUGAUCCAGCCAUGCCGCGUGUGUGAAGAAGGUCUUCGGAUUGUAAAGCACUUUAAGUUGGGAGGAAGGGCAGUUACCUAAUACGUAAUUGUUUUGACGUUACCGACAGAAUAAGCACCGGCUAACUCUGUGCCAGCAGCCGCGGUAAUACAGAGGGUGCAAGCGUUAAUCGGAAUUACUGGGCGUAAAGCGCGCGUAGGUGGUUCGUUAAGUUGGAUGUGAAAUCCCCGGGCUCAACCUGGGAACUGCAUUCAAAACUGUCGAGCUAGAGUAUGGUAGAGGGUGGUGGGAAUUUCCUGUGUAGCGG